rnacentral:rRNA from 1 species
GCGCCUCGUGAAUUCAUCUCCGGGGGUAGAGCACUGUUUCGGCAAGGGGGUCAUCCCGACUUACCAACCCGAUGCAAACUGCGAAUACCGGAGAAUGUUAUCACGGGAGACACACGGCGGGUGCUAACGUCCGUCGUGAAGAGGGAAACAACCCAGACCGCCAGCUAAGGUCCCAAAGUCAUGGUUAAGUGGGAAACGAUGUGGGAAGGCCCAGACAGCCAGGAUGUUGGCUUAGAAGCAGCCAUCAUUUAAAGAAAGCGUAAUAGCUCACUGGUCGAGUCGGCCUGCGCGGAAGAUGUAACGGGGCUAAACCAUGCACCGAAGCUGCGGCAGCGACGCUUAUGCGUUGUUGGGUAGGGGAGCGUUCUGUAAGCCUGUGAAGGUGUGCUGUGAGGCAUGCUGGAGGUAUCAGAAGUGCGAAUGCUGACAUAAGUAACGAUAAAGCGGGUGAAAAGCCCGCUCGCCGGAAGACCAAGGGUUCCUGUCCAACGUUAAUCGGGGCAGGGUGAGUCGACCCCUAAGGCGAGGCCGAAAGGCGUAGUCGAUGGGAAACAGGUUAAUAUUCCUGUACUUGGUGUUACUGCGAAGGGGGGACGGAGAAGGCUAUGUUGGCCGGGCGACGGUUGUCCCGGUUUAAGCGUGUAGGCUGGUUUUCCAGGCAAAUCCGGAAAAUCAAGGCUGAGGCGUGAUGACGAGGCACUACGGUGCUGAAGCAACAAAUGCCCUGCUUCCAGGAAAAGCCUCUAAGCAUCAGGUAACAUCAAAUCGUACCCCAAACCGACACAGGUGGUCAGGUAGAGAAUACCAAGGCGCUUGAGAGAACUCGGGUGAAGGAACUAGGCAAAAUGGUGCCGUAACUUCGGGAGAAGGCACGCUGAUAUGUAGGUGAAGCGACUUGCUCGUGGAGCUGAAAUCAGUCGAAGAUACCAGCUGGCUGCAACUGUUUAUUAAAAACACAGCACUGUGCAAACACGAAAGUGGACGUAUACGGUGUGACGCCUGCCCGGUGCCGGAAGGUUAAUUGAUGGGGUCAGCGCAAGCGAAGCUCUUGAUCGAAGCCCCGGUAAACGGCGGCCGUAACUAUAACGGUCCUAAGGUAGCGAAAUUCCUUGUCGGGUAAGUUCCGACCUGCACGAAUGGCGUAAUGAUGGCCAGGCUGUCUCCACCCGAGACUCAGUGAAAUUGAACUCGCUGUGAAGAUGCAGUGUACCCGCGGCAAGACGGAAAGACCCCGUGAACCUUUACUAUAGCUUGACACUGAACAUUGAGCCUUGAUGUGUAGGAUAGGUGGGAGGCUUAGAAGUGUGGACGCCAGUCUGCAUGGAGCCGACCUUGAAAUACCACCCUUUAAUGUUUGAUGUUCUAACGUUGACCCGUAAUCCGGGUUGCGGACAGUGUCUGGUGGGUAGUUUGACUGGGGCGGUCUCCUCCUAAAGAGUAACGGAGGAGCACGAAGGUUGGCUAAUCCUGGUCGGACAUCAGGAGGUUAGUGCAAUGGCAUAAGCCAGCUUGACUGCGAGCGUGACGGCGCGAGCAGGUGCGAAAGCAGGUCAUAGUGAUCCGGUGGUUCUGAAUGGAAGGGCCAUCGCUCAACGGAUAAAAGGUACUCCGGGGAUAACAGGCUGAUACCGCCCAAGAGUUCAUAUCGACGGCGGUGUUUGGCACCUCGAUGUCGGCUCAUCACAUCCUGGGGCUGAAGUAGGUCCCAAGGGUAUGGCUGUUCGCCAUUUAAAGUGGUACGCGAGCUGGGUUUAGAACGUCGUGAGACAGUUCGGUCCCUAUCUGCCGUGGGCGCUGGAGAACUGAGGGGGGCUGCUCCUAGUACGAGAGGACCGGAGUGGACGCAUCACUGGUGUUCGGGUUGUCAUGCCAAUGGCACUGCCCGGUAGCUAAAUGCGGAAGAGAUAAGUGCUGAAAGCAUCUAAGCACGAAACUUGCCCCGAGAUGAGUUCUCCCUGACCCUUUAAGGGUCCUGAAGGAACGUUGAAGACGACGACGUUGAUAGGCC